rnacentral:rRNA from 1 species
CACUUCUAAGGAAGGCAGCAGGCGCGCAAAUUACCCAAUCCUGACUCAGGGAGGUAGUGACAAGAAAUAACAAUAAACCGGCUUAUGCCGGUUUAAUUGGAAUGAGUACAAUUUAAACAUCUUAACGAGGAACAAUUGGAGGGCAAGUCUGGUGCCAGCAGCCGCGGCAAUUCCAGCUCCAAUAGCGUAUACUAAAGUUGUUGCAGUUAAAAAGCUCGUAGUUGGAUUUCUGUGGGGACGGAGCGGCCGGCCGCACAUCGCGGUUCGAGCUAGCGCUUUCCCUACAUCCUGCCGCGAACCGUGCUACCAUUAGUUUGGUGGCGCCGGGGAUCGGCUCGAUUACUUUGAGAAAAAUAGAGUGUUCAAAGCAGGCCACAUGCCUUGAAUAAGUUAGCAUGGAAUAAUAACUAAGGACUUCGGUUCUAUUUUGUUGGUGUUCGGGACUGAAGUAAUGAUUGAUAGGGACAGUUGGGGCGGUCUGUAUUCCAAAGCGAGAGGUGAAAUUCUUAGACCUUCGGAAGACAAACAGCUGCGAAAGCGUUCCGCAAGGAUGUUCCCUUUGAUCAAGAACGAAAGUUGGGGGAUCGAAGACGAUCAGAUACCGUCGUAGUCUCAACUAUAAACUAUACCAGCUAGGGAUCGGCCAACGUUAUUUAUACCAACUUGGUCGGCACCUUAUGAGAAAUCAAAGCAUCUGGGUUCCGGGGGGAGUAUGGUCGCAAGGCUGAAACUUAAAGGAAUUGACGGAAGGGCACCACCAGCCGUGGAGCCUGUGGCUUAAUUUGACUCAACACGGGAAAACUUACCAGGUCCAGACAUAGUAAGGAUUGACAGAUUGAUAGCUCUUUCUUGAUUCUGUGGGUGGUGGUGCAUGGCCGUUCUUAGUUGGUGGAGUGAUUUGUCUGGUUAAUUCCGUUAACGAACGAGACCCCAGCCUGCUAAAUAGCGCGCGUGAGCUUUGCUCGCGGCGAGCUUCUUAGAGGGACUAUGAUGCGCGAUAGCACAUGGAAGUUUGGGGCAAUAACAGGUCUGUGAUGCCCUUAGAUGUUCUGGGCCGCACACGGGCUACACUGGCGCCUGCAACGAGCAUAUCAGCUGGCCCGAGAGGGUCUUGGCUAAUCUUUUGAACCGGCGCCGUGCUUGGGAUUGACCUUUGCAAUUGUUGGUCAUGCAACGAGGAAUGCCUUGUAAACGCGAGUCAUCAGCUCGCAUUGAAUACGUCCCUGCCCUUUGUACACACCGCCCGUCGCUCCUACCGAUGAAUGUUCCGAUGAAAUUUUCGGAGAGCACCUGUGAACUUGGCUCUGCCUUGCGAACGGGAGGCUCAAAGUCACUUAAAUCUGAAC